GUUUACACUUUUUUAGAAAAAAA
rnacentral:tRNA from 2 species